GGGCGCGACCCGCAGGGCCCCCGCCCGCAGAGCCGCCCGCAGAGCCCCCGGGGCUCAGCGCCCCCGCUCCCGGACCCGCCGCAGAAACCUGGCUUCCUGCUCCCCCUUCAGUCUGAGCGCCCGGUUUGCCUUUCUCCAGUAGUGUCUGACGUGUGAGGACGGCCAUGCAGUGGUUUUAGGAGCGCACCGCUGGUUCCGAGACGCGUGCGCCCGGCACUACCCACAUCCCCGGUUCCCUCGCCGCCGUCAGCGCCUCCGUGCCCAGCUCAAGUCCCGCCCGUCUCCGACUGACUUCGGUUAUCGGCCUGGAGUUUCCUUUUCUGGAAUUUCAUAGAGCCAACAGCAGCUAGCUUCAGUGUUUGUAUUCACCCAAAUCCAAGGAGAGUCUCCCAGAGCUGCCUACUCUGACCAAUCUGAUGGAGCAUUUUUUCAAGCACUGAACAACCAGGAACAUUUUCAGCACUGUCACACACAGAGAGAGAGAGAGGCAGAGACAUAGGCAGAGGGAGAAGCAGGCUCUAUAUAGGGAGCCCGACGUGGGAUUUGAUCCCGGAUCUCCAGGAUCGCGCCCUGGGCCAAAGGCAGGCGCUAAACCACUGCGCCACCCAGGGAUCCCAUGGAGCCCACUUUUACAAGUUAACAGUAAACUCCCUUUUAAUAACAGCCUUAAUCAUAUUUGCACUUAAUUUGCUUCUACAUGCAUACUCUCAAGACCUUAUUGGCUGUCAAAAUCUCAUCCCAACUCUGUUUAAAUCGCAACUCAUACCGAAGAGUUCCCUAUGAAAUUCUUUUGCUCAAAGCCUAGAUAGACUGAACCUUGCCUAUUGCAAGUAUACUUUAAAGAUUAGUAACUAAUGAAAAAAAUUAGACCAACUUGCUGGACUAAAAUAUUAACAGGCCCUAAGUGGCUUCUCAGGGAGGGGACCACAUGCAAUACAUCCAGAUUAUAAGUGAAAUAAAAUCCCAGUUCCUGAUCACCAUUACCAUAUGGCCUGGAAUACAAACCGUAAUACUUAUCUAAGCCAGUGUAUUUUUAACACUGUAAUGAUGAAUGAGAUGAGGAAGUUAAAUUAAUCUGUACAAUCUAAAAGGCCAUAAUUUUAAAGUAAGAAAAAGCAAUUCACACUAUGCUUUCUACUAAUGCUAAACAGAUGCCUGAGGAGACUGGAAAUGAAACAUAAAACGCUCCAAAAUGACAAUGAGGGGAGGCAACAUUUUUACCUUUUCAAUUUUUUAUUUUAUAGUUAUAUUUUUGAGAGGAAAAGUAUAAAGGGUUCAAAAAUGGACAUGUACUUUAAACUGUAAAU